rnacentral:tRNA from 1 species
UCUAAUUAGUUUAUUUAAAAAUAUUAAAUUGUGGAUUUAAAGAAGGGGUUUCAUUAGAUA